CUAAUAUUACUGUAAUGCAUGGAUUUCACCUCCCCAUGCCCCCACCUGCCACGGUGCCAGAUAGGGGCUAUAUCUACUAAAUGUUUAAAACUAGUGACUGGGCAGCCAUUGCUAUCGAAACAUAGAAUGUGACGGCAGAUAAGAACCAUUCGGCCCAUCUAGUCUGCCCAAUUUUUUAAAUACUUUCAUUAUUCCCUGGCCUUAUAUUAUUGCUAGGAUAGCCUUAUGCCAAUCCCAUGCAUGCUUCAGUGUAUUAGAAUGGAAUGUGAUAUAACAGGGGAAGACACACAUAAUCCACCUUGUGCCACUUCUAAAAUAAGUAAAUGGUGGACAGGUCACUGUUCUUCCCCUUCCCCCACUAAUGCUCAGCAGGUGGAGGCUGUUAUAAUAUAGAGGAGUUUUGUUAUGAUAUAAAGGGAGUUAACC